GUCUUUUGGACACCUUAGCUCAGAUUUGGCAAUGACGUUGGUCCUUCCACCUAUUAAAGAGUCAUUUAUGUCACCGUUAAGCUAGCUUGUGUGGCAUUGUGCCCGUUUCGAGAUCCUCCCUGGCUCAUCCGGCAAUAACGACAAUUCUGAAAGGCAAUGGAAGCUGAUCUCCAUAUCAUCACCCCUGAAAUAUUUGUCCAUCUGGAGGCGUAGCAUCCCCACUGGGCCAUCGGCAUUGCAUCAUCCAUCAGCGAUGCCUCUGGCACCACAGUAAAGCUGGGCUCUAGGACUUGUAACCCAGCGCCGGUUUUCCCAGCAGACUACGAGAUCUGUGGCGUGAUGAUGGACAGAAUUGGUUCUCACCUUUCUUUGUGGGCUCAGGCAUGUUGAGCCGUUCUCCGGUGGACCUGGCACCAGUUGGAGGGAUUCAGGGAAGAAAGAAAGCUAUACAGGCUUGAAAUGACAUGAGGAUUCCUGUCUGUAGUGCUCCUCAAGAAAUUCCAGAAUCACCUCCAAAUCAGUUUGAUAUUCCUGCGGACUGUUCUGGGUUUAACUGUUCUGGAACAUCUGUGGUAAAGUGUGGAAUUGUUUCCUGUCUGCUGUGGAUGAUAAAAAUGUGGGAGACUGUGCUUGAAGGACACUUCCUUAAUUGUGCUGUGUUGAGGGGUCCCAAGUGCAGAAUUGAACAAAGCUACAAUAACCCAGUCUGUUCUUCAGAUGUUGUUGUGCAUCUGAACCUGUGCUUGAAGGACUAAUUGGCAUCUUAAGGAGUCUUCCUGAUAAGGUACUUCCUGAUAUCCCAUCACACUGCUGUUGAAUUCACUACAUUGUCUGCAGCAUAAUCUUUUGAAGGUACAAUUUCCCCAUAAAUUUUGUAAAAUGAAGGAAACAUUUUUCAAAUACUGAACUAUUUCUUGGUCACUAAUGAAAUAAGCACAUGUGUGACUCAUUAUGAUGAUCAGAUGUCCUUCCGAUUAUGC